rnacentral:rRNA from 1 species
UGGGGAAUAUUGCACAAUGGGCGCAAGCCUGAUGCAGCAACGCCGCGUGAGGGAUGACGGCCUUCGGGUUGUAAACCCCUUUUAGCAGGGAAGAAGCGAAAGUGACGGUACCUGCAGAAAAAGCACCGGCUAACUACGUGCCAGCAGCCGCGGUAAUACGUAGGGUGCAAGCGUUGUCCGGAAUUAUUGGGCGUAAAGAGCUCGUAGGCGGUCUGUCGCGUCUGCUGUGAAAUCCCGAGGCUCAACCUCGGGCCUGCAGUGGGUACGGGCAGACUAGAGUGCGGUAGGGGAGAAUGGAACUCCUGGUGUAGCGGUGGAAUGCGCAGAUAUCAGGAAGAACACCGAUGGCAAAGGCAGUUCUCUGGGCCGUAACUGACGCUGAGGAGCGAAAGCGUGGGGAGCGAACAGGAUUAGAUACCCUGGUAGUCCACGCCGUAAACGUUGGGCGCUAGAUGUGGGGACCAUUCCACGGUUUCCGUGUCGCAGCUAACGCAUUAAGCGCCCCGCCUGGGGAGUACGGCCGCAAGGCU